UACGGAGGGGGCAAGCGUUGUUCGGAAUUACUGGGCGUAAAGGGCGCGCAGGCGGCUGCUCAAGUCAGGCGUGAAAGGCCUGGGCUCAACCCGGGAAUUGCGCUUGAGACUGGGCUGGCUUGAGUGCGGGAGAGGAUGGUGGAAUUCCCAGUGUAGAGGUGAAAUUCGUAGAUAUUCGGAAGAACACCAGUGGCGAAGGCGACAUACUGGCUCAUUACUGACGCUGAGGCGCGAAAGCGUGGGGAGCAAACAGG
rnacentral:rRNA from 1 species